rnacentral:lncRNA from 1 species
UAAUCACACAUCAAGCUCCUCUUGACAGAACCACCUAUACUGCUGAUCAACUAAUCAAUCUCAUCUUUGCCUAGCUAGGCAGUGAGAAGGUAAAAUGGCGGCAUCUAUGCGCUCCCAGCUGAAGCUACUCGUGUCGCAGGGGAAGCGACCGUGGAGCUAUCCUAUCAUUACCUCUUCUCUUAGCAGUACCACGAGAUUCCCUCGGCACAAGAAUCGUGAUCCUCCAGCCGAGCAAGCCGAGGACACUCACGCCGUUCAGCAGCCUACACCCGCUCCUGCAGGUAUGCACUCAGCUACUACUACUCCUACUUAUAUAUAUAUUCUCAGCAUGCAUGCAUUACACACAUCUUAUUGCCUCCAAUGUUGUGAUAAUAAUCUGUGGCGUUGCAGUUUCUGAUCUUAAACACAUAGGACACGAUGGUGCAGUUGAGCAUGCCGGGAAGCCCAAGCUUGACAGUUCCACCAGUUUCCCUCCACACAAAAUUCAUGAUCCUGUCGGCGGUUACUCCUUCCACGAAGUAUCAUGAAGGCCCGAAUACUGUCGUGGCACACCUUGGGUGCGGGAGAAGGCACUAGUGUUUCAUCUUCUUUUGUCGGGUAAUCCCUAGGGUUUGGAAGCCUAUCGUCCAAGGCCCUCAUCUAUAUAGAAGACCUUUGGAUUUGCUUUAGGGGAGGCAUAUGGUUUCUCCUGUAUCCUUUGCCGAAGGACUUAAAUCUUUAAUAAAGCAUUCCUUCUAAAAAAUCCUUUGCCGAAGGAGGAGUUAAUUGCCAAACUUUAGCAAUAUCACAACCAUAUUGUAUUAUUUCUCCUGAUGAGGUUCAAGUGGUCCCACCUCCUGGACUAUGGGUUUAUAAUACUCCCUCCG